UUUUUUUUUUUUUAAAUGAUCAAAUUGGAUCAUCAUAUUGGAUGGAGUAAUAACCCUCAUCCAAGACCCCCAGUGGAUGCCUGAAAAUGUGGAUAAUACCAAAUCCUUGUAUAUACGGGGUUUUUCUAUAUGUACAUGCCUAUGAUGAAGUUAAAUUUAUAAAUUAGGCAUAAAGAUUAACAACAAUUACUAUUGAUAACAGUAUACUUUAUUGCAUUUGCCCUGUGGGGCUGUUAUUAAGUAAAGUAAGGAGUACUUAAAACAGGUUCUGCAAUGCUGAGGCAGUGAAUCUGAUAAGUCAGAGGGCUACUGAGUGAUAAAGGGGUAGGAUAUGUUGGGCAGAAAUGACUCACAACCCAAGAGAUUUCAUCACACUGCUCAGAAUGGUAUGCAAUUUAAAACAUGAGUUGUUUACUUCUGGGAUUUUUACAUUUAAUAUCUUCAGACAAUGGGGCUGGGGCUGGGGCUGUAGCUCAAUGGCAGAGUGCUUGCCCAGCAGACUCUGGGUUUAAUUCCCUGCACUCCAAAAAAAAUUAAUAAAUCAGUCGUUUGGAGGUCGACCAUGGUUUACUGAACCCUCAGAAAGCAAAAUCUAGAGUAAGCAGGGAACAACUCUAUCUUCUUUGAACUAAAACCACACCUGAAAAUGAUUUCCUGCUGAGAAGAGUCAGUGGUAAUAUUUAGACAAUUACCAUGACGCUUGCUGAGAUCACCAAAAUUAAAAACUGUUAAAGCCACUAAUAAACCUCUCAUUGACAUACUUUGGAACUGAGAAGGAAAAAAUGCUAAAGUUUUGAUAAACAUUUGCCUAAUAAGUAGAAUUGUGUCUCCGUGCACAGUGAAACACUACUGUAAUCCCAGCUAAUCAGGAGGCUGAGGCAGCUUAAUGAGACCCUGUCUCAAAAGAAAACAAAAAGGGCUGGGGUGUGGCUCAGUGGUAGAUGGUCCCUGGAUUCAAUCUCCAAUACCAUAACAUGAAGGAGGAGGAAGAGGAUAAAGGGGAGAAGAGUAUGGAGAAGGAGAAUCUUAACAAUUCAGUGGAUGAGGAAGAAUUUUUUUAUAAAACGGGAUAUAAAAUAACAGCACAAAGGCAGAGACUGAUAAGUUUUAUCUCAUUAAAAUUGGAAACUGUUCUGUGUUUAAAGACAUCAUUUAAAAUAUGAAGAGAUAAGCCACAAACCAGGAAAAGAUAGUUGCAGCACAUACCACUAAUAAAGGCUUAGUAUCCAGUGCACGUGCACAUCUCUUACCCAUGAAAUAGGUGGGCCAAGGUAAUGAACCCCAGACUACAGGCGAGGGACCUCAAGUGGCUAAUGACAGUGGCAAAAGCUACUAAACCUCACUCUGUGUAAGAUGUAUGCAAAUUAAACAAUAGCAUUUCUCAUCUGUCAAAUUGGUAAGAAUCUAAGAGUUGGGAGAUACUAAAUGCUGGCGAGGGUGUGAAGUGGCUGCAAAAAAGAACCUGACCACAAUUAAGCUUCUUUGGUGACCCCUCCCACCAUAAUUAAGCUUCUUGUCAGCAAGAUUUUACAAAGAGUGUCAACAAGGUUUCACAGGAGUUCUGCACAGAGCUUUAUGUGAUUUGUAACUUUCUCUUUCUUGUAAAACCUAGGUCUGCGUCAAGCUUAUUGCUGUGCAAAUGAUACUAUUCUGCUUUCCUCCAGACCUCGCACCCAGAGAUUUUUAGGCAAGAGCCCCUCUGGACCACCUCAGCUUAAAUAAACCUGCUUCCUGAAAAUUCCUCAUGUAUCCAGCUUCGUCUGUCCUCAGCAACAGAAGUGUACCUUAGAGCAAGCUUUGAAGAGUAACUUGGCAAGUUGAAUGAACUAGCCCAGCAGCAGGCUUACACAGCCACUUCACUGCCAGCCACCAGCCCGACAGGGAGAUGCGAGCCAGAAUGAUCUUGCAGUGUUAUUAAUAGGAGAAAAACAAACCAAAGCCCAAAGCAAAUAAAAGCAUGAAGUAAACCAUGUCUAGCUGCCAAACAGAAAAAGAAGAAGAAAAGGAGGAGAGCAGUUAUAAUAGCUCACAAGGUGACGGUAGUGAACUGGAGCCCUGCACGCUGAAGGGGAUCGCCGGAGAGCAGAGAGCUGAACAACGACUCCAAAAGGAGUGAAUGUGUGUCCACGUGAGGGACUUCACAAGAGGCCAGAGCAUAGAGCAGGCACCCAGGGCAGAUAGGCCUCGGAGGGCACGUCAGGAGGGCUACCUGUGACUCACAGGGAUUCAGUGUGCUUUCCACUCCGUGCGUUAUAGUCAUCUCUAAAACUUACUGCACGUCAUGAGGAGUCAGACUUCUGUUCUAUAUCCACGUAGAAGCAGAACCCUCCCGAUUCUGCGAAUUCCUUCCUGUCAUAACAUCUUAUCUUCCACUGUGCAGUUUUAGUUGUAAACAUUUAUUAAUACAAAUAUUAAUACAAAUAUUAAUACAGCUUUAUUAGUCUGAAAUCACUCUAUUCAAUUUUUUUAUUUGAACAAAUAGGAUGGAGACAAGUGAUCAUGCUAUUGAUUUAAAAUCAGCUGUACACUGGUUUCUUAGAGGUAAUUUGAGAUGCUUUGUUGAGUUAGAACUGCCUAAGAAUGUGUAUGUGUGUGUGUGUGUGUGUGUGUGUGUGACUGGAAAUUGAACCUAGGGCUGUGCAUGCUAGGGAACCACUCCACCAAUGAGCUACACCCUCAGUCAGUCCCUAAGAAGUGUUUGGACUGAGUUGACUUUAUUUUCUAAACUUAAGGCCUAUGAAAUAUUCCUCUGAAUCAAAGUCAAAAUAGGACAUUAAGAUUUUUCUCUGGGGAAAAUUGAUAAAAAUAAAUUGAGGUCAAAAUUUUGCCCAUCAAAAACACAAAGCCAGUGUACCUGCAUGUCCUUGCCUAGAUGCCAAGCACCUGGCCAGGUAUAAAACAGAGUCAGAAGAGUGCUUUUCUCUGCCAUCCAGCAACUCGGGAUUCCCAUGCAGACAGACAAAUAGAAGGCAGAGCGGGGCAGGGUGUGAGGGGAGAGCAAGGCACGGCUGUGCACAAAGCAGGGCUGAGGCGACGGCCGCCGGAGCUGCCCCGAAGACCGCGGGUCCUGGGAGAGUUUAGUACACUAGGUGAGCACAGGCAGCAGUAUCUCCACCAGGUGAGCCACCAGGGACAAGGUACCUCUCACUCUUUGACCCAAUAUAUUUUUUUAAUACUCAAAAAUGAUUUCUUUAACAGAGGAAUGGAGUCCUGCGGGGUAGAGCUGUGAAAGAGCAUCAUUCAGCCUGUCCUACAUUUUGAGUGUCCCCAAGUAUGCAUUCCUCAUACAGUGGGAGCCUGUGAGGCCCAGCCCCUUCCUUAGAAGGCAGCCCCAGCACCUUCCUUUGUCAGUCCCCUGGAUGAGGAGAGUAAAAAGCUUCAAACACACCGGGGCCGGAUGCAGUGGCUCAGAUUGUGUCCUCCGCUGUGCCUCUCAUUCCUACACCUCCUGAGUGUGUCUGCUUGGUGGUUUAUGUCAUGACCAACAGGGGACCACGUGGCUGUCAACCAUGGUGCUCUUGAGUCCAUGUUGCUAAUUAAAUUCUACUUUUCCGCCUCAAAAGCAGAGGUUCUGAUCAGGAGGUCAUGGAUUGAGCUGGGAAUGUGUGUGCUAAAGUGUAAGCAGAACUGAAAGUGGCCAGGAGAGCCCUCUGGACCACCGGCCUCCGAGAGGUCAGGACUGCCUCCUGGCGCCUGCUCCCACGGCCUGCCAGGAGCCAGUGUGUGUGGAAUCACAGAAUCCCUUGACACGUGGAUGAGCGCAGUGACGGACCGUGGUUCUAAGAUGGGCAUGCACUGAGCCCACAGGGCAGGGGAGAACAAUAGACUGUCUUGUGGACUGGACACUUUUGAGCAGGAGGACUAGGUAUUUGGGAAUGGAGAAGGCCUAGAACACGGGUCAUUUUUAAAGAAUAGAAGGUGGUGGACUUUUGAUCUGUGAUUAUUACAAGGCCUGGAUUGAUGGUUUCUGGGUUAAAAUCUAUGAUGCUUUGGGUCUGGAAUUUCCCCUGGAGCUCGCGUUAGAGGGCUUCGUCCCAGUGCAGCCGUGCUGAGAGGCGGGCUGGAGAAAGGGGACUUUCUCUGACCAGUCAGGAGAGUGAUGGUUUGAAGGUGCUAUUGGGAGCUGAAGAACUGGGGCCUCGUUGAAGGAGUGGGAACCACAUCUGCCCCUGGACCCUGCCUCCCCGCUUUCCCUGCUUCCCACCUGCAGUGAGCUGAGCUGCUUUCCUCUGCCACACCCUUCACCUCCGCCCAGAGCAACGGAGCUGGUCUACCAUGGAAUCAAGCUCUGCCACUGGGAGGCAGAAUGCUUCUUUCUUCCUUUGUUUUUCUCAGGCACUUGUCAUAGGGACAAGAGGGUGACUAACACGGAGGACAAAAACUUUCUAUUGUUAUUUGCUAUUGUGAAAUGACCAGGUAAGGGUCAUUCCAGUAGCACAGAGGUGGCUCAGGCUCAAGAAACACACCAAGAGGAGACACCUUAUGACCACCUCAACAGUGUGCUCAUAGGCACUGAUCAAAAUCGCUAGCUUAAAGAAAAGUUAAAAAGUGCCUACUCCAGCAAAAUAUAACAGCACAUUCAACUCUUUCAUUGUUAUAAACUUGAUAUCUUGAAAUCAUUUUGAACUCAUGAAAGAGCUGAAAAAUAGUCAAAAGGAUUUGCAUAUAUUCUUUGCCCAGAUUGACCAAACAUUAAUAUCUCCCCAGCCCUGGUCCCAUCAGCAAGAUCAGGCGAUUUGACGAUGCUACACUCCUGUCUGGAGAAAAACUCCUUCUGACCUCCACUGCUGUGCUCUCUGUGGUCCAAGAUCUGAUCCAGGUCACAGGCUGCAUUUAGCAGUCAUGUUUCCAUUCUCCUUGGACCUGGAGCAGUUCUUCCCUCUCUCUUUAUUUCUGUGACCUUGUCACUUUCAAAGAGCACUAGCCAGUGAUUUUGCAGUGUUCCUCAACAUGCCUGGGAGUUCCUGGUGACACGGUCCAGGUUGUGCAUUUCUGGCCCAACACCACACGCGCACCCCAGUCUUCAGAGCACCAUCAGGAGGGACAGGGCGGCUGGCCCCAUUCCUGCCAACCACAGCUGGUAUCACACGGUGGCCCCAGUAAGGGGCUGCACUGCACGUUGAGUUACGGUUUGGUGAGGUGUCCCCAAAAAGCUCCGAUGUGAGACAGUGCAAGAGAGUUCAGAGAAGUGAUUGGGUUACAGCCUUAACCUGCUCAGUGAAUUAAUCCAUGAUGGGACUGAGUGGUAAUGGGAGGCAAGUGGGGUGUGGCUGGAGGAAGUGUUUCCCGGGGGUGUGGCUUUGGGUAUGUAUUUGUAUAUGGCGAGUGGAGGAGUCUCUCUGCUAUCUGAUCAUUGUGUGAACUGGUUCCCUCUGCCACACUCUUCCGCCAGGAUGUCCUGUCUCAGCUCGAGCCCCGAAGAAUGGAGCCUGCUCGCUUUGGAUCGAGACCUCUGAAACUAGCUUUCAGUCACAACAUGCUUUCCCAAGCUGCUCCGGCUAGCUCUCUCAGUAAGCAGAUGUGAGUCCUCACCAAUGCUCCUAACAACAGAGAAGUCCUCCGUGAACGAGUGGCACCGUCCGCCAUUGGCCACGCGUCCUGCUUAGAGACUAAGAUAGAAGAGUGAAGAAAGGCUUCAGGGACGGUUGGAGGGAUGGUCACUGGGAUUUGAUAGACCCUCCUGGUUUCCAGGAGACAUCCGUAUCACCAGGUGGUCUCUGGAGCACAGAGCAAGGACCCCUGGCUCCAGGGAAGCAGGAAGACUCAGGCAGCAGGGGGUGCUCUCUGGGAGCCCAGGCAGAACCCUGGACUCAGACCCUGGAGUUGCACCUGCGAUUUUCCGUGGCCUGGAGUGCUGAGGCAUCCUGCACAGACAGCAAGGCAGUGGGCACCCAGACUCUCUCCUGGGGAGCAGAAGAAACACAUCCUCUUGAUGGGUUCCUACUUGAUUUCUUCUGGCCUAAUUGCAGAAUUUCCCCCAACAGUUGGUGUGUGUGCCGACAAACACAGAGCUGCCCCUGGGUUCCAGCAUGGUCCCAAGUCUCCUCUGUGGUCCACACUCCUGCCCAGCCCUUGGAGCCGCUGGUCUGCUGUGUGCCUCUGUUCGGCCUCUCCUGGAGUCGCGCACGGCAGCCUCCUGGCUCAGUACGGUGCGUCUGCAGUACCCGGGUGGCACAGGGUGCCCACGUCCUCUGUUCUGUUGCUGAGAGGCAUUCUAUCAGGACCACCAACCCAGCUCCUGAGCUCUUCCAGCUUUGUGACUAGAGAGAAAGUGCUGUGACCAUCCUCAGGUAAGCUCUGGGUGGGCAUAGGCUCUCACUUCUCGUGGGCAGACACCGGGAAGCGAAACUGCUGGGCCACGUGGGAGGUAG